CCGCAGCCGCAGCAGUUCGGGGUGGAUGGCGACCUGAAUUUUCCGACGUGAGCCGCAGCGACCGUCUGUCCUGCGGGGCUUGGUGGGCGCCGAAAGCACUGGAGGGUUGCCUGCG
rnacentral:SRP_RNA from 11 species